rnacentral:misc_RNA from 1 species
CAAGAAGUUACGAAAGGCUCCACCCUGUAAAACCAUACGCGAACUUAUCAAGUUGCCUCGGCGGAUCAGCCCGGCUCCCCGGUAAACGGGGACCGGCCCCCGCCUCAGGAGGUAAGGGCAGCCGCCGGGUAGAAACUCUGUAUUCUAUAGUGGUAAUCUUCUGAGUAUAAACCAUAAAUAAAGUCUA